CCUACGGGUGACAGCAGUGAGGAAUAUUGGUCAAUGGACGAGAGUCUGAACCAGCCAAGUAGCGUGAAGGAUGACUGCCCUAUGGGUUGUAAACUUCUUUUAUAUGGGAAUAAAAUGUUCCACGUGUGGGAUUUUGUAUGUACCAUAUGAAUAAGGAUCGGCUAACUCCGUGCCAGCAGCCGCGGUAAUACGGAGGAUCCGAGCGUUAUCCGGAUUUAUUGGGUUUAAAGGGAGCGUAGGUGGAUUGUUAAGUCAGUUGUGAAAGUUUGCGGCUCAACCGUAAAAUUGCAGUUGAAACUGGCAGUCUUGAGUACAGUAGAGGUGGGCUGAAUUCGUGGUGUAGCGGUGAAAUGCUUAGAUAUCACGAAGAACUCCGAUUGCGAAGGCAGUUCACUGGACUGCAACUGACACUGAGGCUCGAAAGUGUGGGUAUCAAACAGGAUUAGAUACCCUAGUAGUC
rnacentral:rRNA from 1 species